UACGUAGGGGGCAAGCGUUGUCCGGAUUUAUUGGGCGUAAAAGGCUUGUAGGUGGCCACGUCAAGUCGGAUGUGAAAUCUCCCGGCUCAACCGGGGAGGGUCGUGCGAUACGGGCGGACUGGAGGCCAGUAGGGGGAUGCGGAAUUCCGGGUGUAGUGGUGGAAUGCGUAGAGAUCCGGAGGAACACCGGCGGCGAAGGCGGCAUCCUGGACUGGUCCUGACACUCAGGAGCGAAAGCGUGGGGAGCGAUCCGG
rnacentral:rRNA from 1 species